AUGAACAGCUUCAAAAUUUCAACCUCAACAUUCAACACCACUUUCUUCCCUAUCUAUGACAAUCUUCUCACUCCUUCCUUCCAAAACCACAAAACAAAACUCAUACCUCACAAUCCAAACCCCAUUUUCUCCUAUGCGCUUCUCUUCCUAGUCCACAAGCUAGUAAUGCUUCUGUUGCUCAAGUGGAGGAACAAGAAGAGAUUGAAAUUGUAA